GUAAUAAUUUUUUUUUUUAGGGUGCAAUUUUGUUAAAUUUGAGAAGAACACCCCCCAUCCCGGCUCCUAUUUAUUUCCCACCUGUAUUUGUUGCCCUAGAUCGAUCGUUUAUCUCUGUCGGCGUUGAUCCAACGGUCCUCUCGCUCUAGCCGCCUCUCCCUCCGAGCAACCCUCCCAUCGAACCCGUUUGUUGCUCUAUAUUUCUCUCUGUCGGUGAUCCUUUCUCACCAACAAUGGUCCUCCCUGUCCCGCUCGAGUCGAAAAAUCGCCGCUGGGAUUCAAGUCCCAACUAGCACAAUCCCUAAUUCAUCGGCGAGAAGCAUCAGUAGAUUCAACCACCACUACCACCGCGGUCCUCCUCCUCCAUCGUAGCUCUCACAGGGUCCAAACAAUGUCCAGUAGAGGCCGCGGCCCGGGCAGACGGGGCCGAGGAAGGGGUUCCAAUCCCUAUCAUACAGACUUUCCAGGCUUACAUGCCUUUUCCAGUAAAAAAGGGGAAUCUAGCCGUACAGCUAAAGAUGUCCUCCUUACUUCUCCAGUACCUUAUGUCCAGAAUUUUAUUAUUGAGGAGACCGUCCUCUAUAUUGAAAAUUCCGAUAUUCAAUGGAUGAACAGGAACAAAUUUGUCUUU